ACUAUAGAAAACAGUAUGGAGAUUCCUUGAAGAGCUAAAGGUAGAUCUACCAUUUGAUCCAGCAAUCCCACUGCUGGGUAUGUAUCCAAAGAAAAAGACGUCAUUAUAUG